CCUUGAAUUUAAUAAAAUUUUGUUUUUGUCAAAAUAACUUGCAAAAUUUAUGAUAUUUCAUCAGGCAUGCAAAGACACCAGUGAAUUUAAGAUGUUUGGUUUUAUUUAUCUUAUCUGAAUAUCUGCUGUCACGCAUAACAUUCAUUAUUUGACCGUAUUUCAAAGAUAAACAAAAUCCAGUUACAACUCCGAACCGCUAGAUGGCAGCAGUACACAAACACGGGGCCAAAUCUCACGAGAAAGAUUUCCGCUGUUUGAAAAGCAACAACAUCAGCGAGCAGCCAUGAGGAAAGCAAUCUACCACACUCGUUUGGUUUUGUGUCAAAGCUGUGCGAAACUGGAGGGAGAAACUUGAGAGACCGUGCCGGAAGAAUGCUGGACAGAGUUCACUAAAAUUCAUUAAUUUCAAAGUUCAACAUGCAUGGUGGUGGUCCACUGCAGAAGCAAGCAUUUGAAAAAACAUCAGUUCUCAGUUAUUAAAGAGCGUGAACAGGUUGUGAAGUGGCAUGCAAAACACGUUCACA